AGCUUCUUCCCUGUAACAGGAAAUUACUGGAUAAAAUUGUAUGCUGUCUUGUCCAAUUAUAAGACAAUCAGUGCUGGGAACACCUUACUGGCUAAAAAACAACUGUCAUAAUUUCUACCUCAGAGGCUCCAGACAUGACACACCUAUAACCGUGGUAUAAAAGAUGGUGGCUGGUGUGUGAAUGCUUUAAAGGAAACAUAAAGGGAAAUGAAAUCCAACUGCAUCUCCUACUGCAUUAGUGUGAGAUCGUGAAGAUCUGAGGACAGUGCAUCACAUCUCAGGGGAAGGUUAUGAUACAAAAUGCUGUGGUCUGUCAUGGUGCGUGGUUUAACUCCAAGUUCAGCCAAAGCGUUUCCAUUUUAUAUCCAUGUGUUCUGGGAAUUCAAACUUUUUUAAUCCGAUUAAAUGUUAUUAAUAUUAUGUUAUAUUUUAUCAUGGUGCAUUCUGUAGCUAUUCUUGAAUGAGUUAUCUCUUCCUUUUACUAGAAGUAAUUUUCUAUAUUAUCAAGAGAUAAAAGGUCACAUAAAUAUAACGCUUUUCCAGAAUUUAUUGCUUGAUUUUAGCUAUACUAACAGAUUGUAAUUGGGAAGUGAAUGCAAAGACUAAGAUUAUCAGACCUCACUUACCUGGUCUGGUGAACUCUCCCCCACUUCCCGCCCCACUGGGACAUUAUUUUCUGCAGUUUGCUCCUUGGAAGUCUGGAGGUAUGCCAUUACAGAGGGUCACCUUGGAGGUCCAAGUAGUUAUGGAAAUACUGCUUUCGGAGAUUUAUGAAGCAUGUCAACACAUUAAAAUCUCUAAGAAGUCCAGUAAAGCAAGUUGUUUGAGCCAGUGUUUGCCUCUUUGAUUGCAUAAUACAUAUACCUUGUAUUAUUUGUUUGAUGAAACAUGUUUUAGGAAGCUUUACCCUGGAUUACAAUUCCUCAGCCAGAAGCACGAAAAAACCUGAAAUUGCUUUUAAUAAAGUCCUUAGAGUUGAUUUGGAAUGUGAAGAAUUGAGUUUGAGACUUUAUGCUGUAAUUUUACAGCUAGGCAACGUUGGAUAUAUCUUGAAAGUUACCAAGAAGGACUCAUCAAAUAUCACCUGA
rnacentral:lncRNA from 1 species